AUUGAACGCUGGCGGCAUGCUUUACACAUGCAAGUCGAACGGUAACAGGCCGCAAGGUGCUGACGAGUGGCGAACGGGUGAGAAUGCAUCGGAACGUGCCCAGUCGUGGGGGAUAACUACUCGAAAGAGUAGCUAAUACCGCAUACGAUCUAUGGAUGAAAGCGGGGGACCGUAAGGCCUCGCGCGAUUGGAGCGGCCGAUGUCAGAUUAGGUAGUUGGUGGGGUAAAGGCUCACCAAGCCAACGAUCUGUAGCUGGUCUGAGAGGACGACCAGCCACACUGGGACUGAGACACGGCCCAGACUCCUACGGGAGGCAGCAGUGGGGAAUUUUGGACAAUGGGCGCAAGCCUGAUCCAGCAAUGCCGCGUGCAGGAAGAAGGCCUUCGGGUUGUAAACUGCUUUUGUACGGAACGAAACGGCUCUGGUUAAUACCCGGGGCUAAUGACGGUACCGUAAGAAUAAGCACCGGCUAACUACGUG
rnacentral:rRNA from 1 species